CAUAAAAUCUGCAUGCAUCAUGGCGAUUCAAGUUCCUAAUAUUUCCUGUAUACAUCUUGGACACUGAUGUAAGAUCGAUGUAACUUGUGUAUAUUGCAAACAGUUAAAGCAACACUUCCCUUUUGGGAGAAAUAGUGGUGGCAAAGAUAAAUUCUUUAGAAAUCGUCUAUUCCGAACACUCAAUACCAAGUAAACGACUUUCCAUACCAUCAAUGAAAUCAUUUGUGGUAAAAAAAUUUGAGCAUACAACAUUUUGGGUUAUUUCGACGACACACAUUUAUGCACACUUUUUUUCAGUAUUUCGUUGGGGACAUACCCCAAGGGAGGAAGGCGGUGCGUGCUGCGCAACCACCCAGACGGUAGAGAGAUGCCCAAUCCUUCAAGUGGAGGCCCAACAACGGGGCUGGGGUGACGGAGAGAGCCCAACCUUUCCACUCCCAAUGUCACCGGUUAGAAGUCGAACCUUUACACUCCAGCAUCUCGCCGCCACGCAAGGCAGAGACACUAACCCCUGGGCCACGGGAGCUCCCCAUUUAUCCACACUUUUAAAUCGCUCGUCUCUUGGAAAGCGGACUCAUCUUAAUGUGUUUCUAUCCCACUACACAUUGUUUAUUGCUACAGUCAGAUAAUGCACACUGAGUUGGCAUAUGAUAAUUAGCAAUAGUUGCUACAACCCCUCGACAUGCAUUAUGCAGUAGAAUAAAAGACUGAACUAGAUUGGGAAUGGAUUUGCUCCACUCCCUAUAUUGGAAGCGUCCUAGCGCCCUGUCCCGAUAAAGAUAUACGAAAAUCAAAUUUAAAUGAAAUAACGCAUAAUCAUUUUCUUGAACUUAUUCUCCUUCAGCUCUUUAGUACUCAGUUAUUUUUCGUUGCAUCAAUUUUUUAAGCAUGCUAUUCUGAUUUUGAUGGUGUACGUCCUGAAGUAAAAACAUAAAGACGGUCAAAAUUGCCUCCGAACAUAAGCUGUGCUGUGACGGCUUUCAUUUGCCUCGGCACUGGUUUACUCAGACUCGCCUCUCUUGCACAGUCAAGACAGCUGUCAGGACGCAGAGUACCUCUUUUGAAGGGACGCACGGAUAGACACUCCGUCGUCAUAGCACAGCUUAUGUUCAGAGGAAAUUUUGACCCUCUAUUUUUUUUACCUUGUGACGUACCCUACACCAUCAAAAUCAGAACAGCAUGGAGAUUUGGGAUAUGUGCUUGAGAAAGUGAUGUGACAUAAAAUAGGUGAAUACUAAUUAGGGAGUUGAAGGGAAAUAAGUGCAAGAAAAUGUUUGUGAUACUUAAUUUGACUCUGCUUUUUGUAUAUUUGUUUUUACAUUAUUGUUACAAAUUUAUGCUCGUUUAAUGUAGAAUUUUCUUGGGAAGAUGAUGGUGGUCUCAGUUUUUCUUAAUAAUGAAUGGUGGGGUCAGGAAACUGGGUGGGAGUGAGGUGUGUGAAGUCGUCGGUUUUGGAGGAACUGGGCACAUCCACAGCCAACGGCCCAGCAUCACUUGCAGGGCCUUGGUUCGCAGUCUAGUAUGUAAAUCUGUGGAAACAACAGGGAAAGGGUUAAAAAUAGGCUACGCCUGCAAGCAGAUGAGUUACAUGCGAAAGGAUUCAGGACUGCGCAUGCGUGAGGAAGCCACAUCUCGUGAUUGGUGGAGCGUUGCCCCUUCUGCUGGCAAAUAUAAACAAAUGAUCUUGUAAAUUUCACUAACCUAACUUUACCUAACGUAAUCUACUUAACGGGGGCCUUCAACCCCCUAACUAAUUAAACUAGCCCAACCUAACUUAACGUACGUAAUGGGGGACUUCACCCCCUCGACCCCCGUAACGAAGCCCCCCUCGCCCCCUCUAACUAUAUACUAAUUCCCAACCUAACUUAACUUAACCUACUUAAUGGGCACCUUGAGGAAGGUGCCAGCAACAGGAGAGGAGCAGUGUAACGCUCCACAAAUCACGAGACGUGGCUUCCUCGCACAUGCGCAGUCCUGAAUCCUUUCACACGUAACUCACUUGCUUAAUAAUAAGCCCCAGUCACACAUUCACGACAAUGCUGACUGACAGAGAUGAAAUGGGUUAAUUUGAGUUUAAGUUAUCAAUUUUAUCCUCUAAUCUUUAUAUUUGCUCCUGUAACUCAGGAUUUUUCUCCUUGAGAAAAUGGGAUGACAGGUUCAAUUAAUUUCUUAAGAGGAGAUGAGACACCGGCAGAAUAGUUUCUUAUCAAAACCAAUCCCAUCUUGGUAGGCAAGUGCACAGAUUUGGUAGCACAGCAGAACUCUCAGAUCUUAAAGAGGAAGGCAGGAGGUAUGGGAGGGUUUGUGUGAUGAAAAGACAAUGUGAAGCAGAGUCUGUUAAACUUGAAUUAUUUAUUAAACACUAGGUAAGUGUCAUAUUCACAGGGAAGAAUGACUGGAAUAUGAAUUAAUGUCAGACAAAUACAGUAGGCGAAAAUGAAAUGUACAGGAGAAUAUACUUAGAACAAACUAAAUUCCAAACAACUAAAGUACAAUGACAAAGAUUACACAGUUUGACUCCUAAAAACAAUAUUAAAUAACUUCAAAUGGAAGCAAUACAUUCCUGUGAUACAAUUCACUAUUAAUAGGUUUAGGGGAAAAACAGUGCUCAUAUACAAUACCCCAAAAUUCGAAUAACUUGAAAUCCCAACACUUUUUUUGAGAAAGCUUUGGCCCAUAACUCCAAUUUUUCUUGGAACUCAAACGCAGCCAAUGGCACCACUACUACCAUAUAGAAUGUAUAUUAACUCUUAUGUUUUAGCUGGAAGAAAUAUUCGCUAGUAAUCUUUGAACAUUUUCUUAUAAUUAAAAUGUAAAAUUAACAAUUCUGUUGCACUUGUGACAUUAUUAAAACACCAUUUAUUUAUAUACUUGAGUCUUGCACUAGUGUUCAAAUUUAAAGAACCCAAAACACGUUCACGUGAUAACCAUUCGGGAACGCAGCGUGCGUCGCUUUGUUUACCGUUCAGUUCAUUUUGUGCUCUCAUUCAUUAAGCAUCCCCACGUAAUUUAUUGUGUUCUCGAUAUUGUUUUUUGUGCUUUGGUUUCAGUAACAUCCCUGUGCAUUUACCAUGGUGCCCAAGAAGGGUGUUGAGGCUUAUAAGCCUAAGAUUUCCUUAUUGCAUUUAUAUUUACUUUUUUUACUAUUUACCUAUUGGUAUUAUUUUUUUAUUGUUUUAUGCAGCAAUUACAACAUUUACUUGUGUUUUUCUGGCUUAAAUUAUCAGUUUUGGGAGAUGACAUGGGUAUUUUGAGGGUCUGGGAAAGGAUUAAUUCACUUUCCAUUGUUUCCUAUAAGAAAGAUUGCUUUGGAACUCAAAAUUUUUAGAACUCGAAGUCUCCAGGAAUGAAUUAAGUUUGAGUUCUGAGGUCUGACUAUAUAUGAUCACACAUUACAAGUCUACUGAAGAACAAAGUCCUUUCCUAAUGUACAUACUCCACUUGUCUGGUGCAAGAUCAAAAAUGGUUUAAUAUUUGAGUCCUCUACAUUCCUCUAUACACCUGUACUGGGUAUAUUCCCCUUACUAGACGGAAAGUACUGGGUAUAUUCCCCUUACUAGAUGGGAGGUACUGGGUAUAUUCCCCUUAUUAGAUGGGAGGUACUGGGUAUAUUCCCCUUAUUAGAUGGGAGGUACUGGGUAUAUUCCCCUUAUUAGAUGGGAGGUACUGGGUAUAUUCCCCUUAUUAGAUGGGAGGUACUGGGUAUAUUCCCCUUAUUAGAUGGGAGGUACUGGGUAUAUUCCCCUUACUAAACGGGAGGUACAGUUGAAAAUUUCCCUCCCACCACCAAAAUCAUGAGCUCAGUUUUUAGGCAGGAGUGAUGCUCUCAUGUAAAGUAAAAAUAAUUUAAGUUAUAGUAACAAUAACUGUGUGACAUGCUUUUUUUCUUGUACCAUGAAGCAUGGGUAUACUCAUGGGCGAAGAUACUAAAUUUCAUUAAUGGUCAGUUCAAUCAAUGGUUUGUUGCACAGAUUGAGACCAAAGAAACUCAGAACAUCUUAUUGUCCCUACUAUUUGUAGUAGACAUAACCUACAUAAGCUCUUUGCAUUAUGCUUAUAGGAGUACAAACUGCAACUGAAAUAUUCCCAUGAGUUCUGGAGGAAUGCAAGGUGGUUCUCAGUGGCCCACUAAAUAUUUUUAAAAUGUCAAUAAAUUCUGGUUGUGUGCUCAGCCUAUGGAAAGCAGCUAAUGUGACCGAUUAUCAAAAGGGGGACAGGUCACCUAGUUCUAACUAUCGCCCAAUUAGCUUAACAUCAAUUGUAGGCAAGAUGCUGGAGUCAUUAAUAGCCAGGAGCAUUUGGGGCCAUCAAGAGAAACAGACUAAUUCAUGAUUUGCAGUGUGGGUUCAUGAAGGGUAGGUCAUGCAUUACCAGUCUCUUGUCUUUUUAUAAUAAAGUAAUUGAGGCAGAAGAUAGGGAUGAAAACUAUGAUGUAAUAUAUCUUGAUUUUAGUAAAGCAAUCAACAAAGUUACUCACCACCAACUGUUGCUUAUUAUAGGCUCACAAAGUAGACAGAAAAGUUUUGAACUGUAUCAGGGUGUGACUUAGCAAUAGUAAGUGAAGAGUGCAUAUUAAAGGUAAAAGAUCUGACUGGGGCUAAGUUACGAGUGGGGUUCUACAGGGGUUAGUAUUGGGUCCACUGCUGUUUAUCAUUUACAUUAUAUACAAGAAUUAACACUUUUGUGCAUGUGGAUGUGACAUACGCGUCAGUAUAAUUGUCCAGUCAAAAAUCACGGCGUAUGAUUGAUGCGACUAUUGCGUCACUGAUACAAAAAUAUUCACCAAAAAUUAUGUAAUUCUCAUUGACGCGUGAUACUUGGUCUGUAGACAGGCUAGUGCAUGUCGGCUCGAGGUAAGCUGAUGGACACUUCUUGCCGGGAAAUUUUCCUGGGUGACUGGUGGAAAUCUCUUCAGUUGACUCUCCAGCGGUUGCGGACGGGUUUGUGUGUGGCGGGGGGGCAGGGUUACCAAAGAUUUUUUUCUUUCAAGCCUAACUCAUCAACUAUACGUCAUAUAAGAAAUCUGAAACUACCAUUGUAUAAGUAAUGAUCUGUUCUUUAAGAUAACUAUAACAGUUAUGGAGAUAAAAGGAAAAAAGUGAACAUUUUUUUUAAAAAUCUAUUUUUUUCGUUUUUUCAAAUUUAUGACCGUUAUAAUUGGUGUAUCAAAAUUCUGUUUGUUGCGCUAAUUAGCUCAUAAAUGUUCGCUUCUUUUGUUAUAGAGCACAAUGUUAUAUUUUUACUCCUUCUGUGUGAAAAUGGGAGUUUUUUUAUUUCAGAAAUCGGUUCGUGUCACUUCAACUCAUGAUAUCUCGGUAAAAUAUAAAACAAACAUUAUUUUUUUCUUUCCAUAUGAAAGAGCUUACAAUUUACAGUGGAAUGUAUGUAGCUUCAUAAAAGUGAACUGAGCAAAAGAUUCGAUGAUCGAGUUUUGAAAAAAAAUUAUACUGCUCGGUCAGGGUACCAAAAUCAGGCCUCCCAAUAGCCAGUUAAGUGUGCGUUUUGGACUAGAAAAUCAGAUGGGAGGGUGUGCGCGAAAGUGUUAAUAGUGAUCCAAAUAAGUUUGUGGAUGAUACAAAGGUCGGCAGAGUAAUUGAAUCGGAUCAGGACACUGGUAUUUUCCAGGAUGAACUAAAGGCUAAGGGUGCGAUGAGACUUGAUCGAAGUUUAUAAAUGGAUGAAGGGAUUUAAUAAGAAGAAUAUAAAUAGGGUUCUGAUGGAAAGAGUACUGGGUAGGAAACGCAGUAACUGGACAUUCAGACCUUAAGGGAAGGCGACGCCUUAAAAAAAUGAUAUUUUUCGACUCAGAAGUUGAAAUUGAGUUAUUAACAUCAUGGUCCCCCUUAAUAUGUCUGGCGUCUUCUGUGAAAACCGCAAGUUGAUACCAUUAUUCCUUAUAUUUUUAAAUCGCCUUUGUUUACCCUUAUUAAUGGGGUUUAAAUGACCUGCACACCAUGUGCUCGGUCACCUGGCUUAGAAACUCAUCAUUUUGAAGCAUUUUUUUUACUUUUUUUUCUUAUUUAAAAAAAGAUGUGGAGCUUCAGUCGGCAACAUCACUUAUGAGCUGUGAGUGACUCGGAGUAAACCUCCUCAGUCACUUGGUGUCCAGUAAGACGUCAGAGUGAGUGUGUCUGCGCUCCAACACUACUUCAGUUUCUUUUGUAUUCUUUGCAGUUUCUUUUGUAUUCUUCUUUGCUUUAGCAAGUUUGGAAGGAUGCCUCGUUAUGAUAAAGAAAAGCGUGCACGGAUAGAUGCGGCAAGGAAGAUGAGGGAAAAGAAAGAAAAGCAAGAGGAGUUGCAUUGUUGUGAUAAGUCACCACCACCACGCACACUCUCAGCUCACCGCCCAGCCUCAUCUCACACUUCUCCUCCGCCUCUUCCCUCUACCUCUCAACAAUCACCUCCACCACCACAACUCAUUGCCGAGUCCCAUCAAGCCACGAAGAUGGAUCUACGAAUCGAAUUAUUCCACCUCAGUUUUCCAAUCCCCUAUGAAGAUGACGAGAAAUAUAUAAUCUCUCGCUCUCAACUAGAAACACUUGCAUCCAAGAUAUGCAGCAAAUGUUUAGGGGAGCAGAAAUUUGAGGCAGAAAAUAAUAAUUUUGACUGCACCAUCACCAUCACUUGUCUCCAGUGUGGGGAGGUGUCAGCAAUAACACCACGUCGCACAAUGGAUGAUGCUGGACGUGAGACAGUUCACAGAUCUCAACUGCAAGCUCGUUUAUGAGGCUCUAAUUAAUGACCUUGGUUGUGCUGGAUUGAAUCAAAUUGCUCAAGCACAAAGCAUACCUCCCAUGUCAUCUGGGAAAUUCAACAGAUACGCCAACUUCCUCUAUAUAAAAAUGUGGAAACACUACGAGGAUGCUCAGAAGAAAGCAGUUGAUGGAAUUUUCCGUCACUAUGCCUCUGUUGAUAUGCUUCUGAAUCCUGUGCCAAAGCAACUGGACAUCACUGGGAGCUUUGAUGGUACAUGGAGGAAGAGAGGACAUACUUCCCACAUUGGUGUUGGAUUUGUGAUAGAACAGGAGACUGGAGUGAUUGUUGACUUUGAAAUCCUAUGUAACUAUUGUUCCAUCUGUUCCACUAAACAGAAGCAGCACCUCACAGGAAGCAUGGGAUUCAUGGUUUCAGGGCCACAAAGAAAAGUGCUUCAAAAACUUUGAUGGGACAUCAGCAGCAAUGGAAGCAAAAGCAGCAGUGAAACUAUGGACCCGAUCUACAGACUAUAAUCUUCGUUAUGUCAGCUUCAUCAGUGACGGAGACUCGAGUGCAUACAAUGCUGUGUGCACUAAACAACGGCAAUGGACCAUAUGAUGUGCCUGUUCAGAAAGAAGAGUGUAUCAAUCAUGUGGCAAAAAGACUUGGCACUCGACUGAGGAAACUCAAACAGGAGGACUUCACAAUCAUCACAACAAAAUCAGGGAGGAAGAUGAAGCGCAGUGUUCUGGGAGGUGCCAAGAAGCUGACAGACAGUGUCAUACAGUCUUUGCAAAGAUAUUACAAGCAGGCUAUCAAUGACAACGUGAACAAGUCUGUCACCUCAGUGCGUGAUGCAAUCAUGGCAUCUUUCUACCAUGCUUGUUCAUCAGACAAGGAUACACAUUUACAUGAUAUGUGCCCCAACGAUAGUGACUCUUGGUGUUUCUAUAAAAGGGCACUUGCUCAGGGUGAAAUACCUCGUAGUCACUCUGUAAAACCACCCUACCUAAGCAACAUACCUUCUGAUAAGCAAGAGGACAUCAGGAAGAUCUAAUGCGAUCUAAUCAGGACAGAGCUCCUUGAAAGGUGUAUGAAAGGCAGAACCCAGAACCUGAAUGAAAGUCUGCAUUCUAAGCUAUGGGCUAAAUGCAGCAAAACUAAGUAUAGUGGGACCAAAAGAGUCAAGUUUGUUGCCUCUGUGACCGUAUUAGAUCACAACUUUGGCUACUUGAAUCCAAGUCUACUAACUCAUCUUGGGUUUGGUGCCUCUCAAAACACUCUCGCUGGGUUAGGCAUUCAAGAAAGCAGAACAACUCCUGUACAGAAGAGGACCAAAAAGAAGCCCCAUUCAAGAGAAGGAAGUGAAGACUACCAGCCAGGCAGCUUCUAAUAAUCCUGGCGACAAAGAGGAGAGUGGCGCCCCCUGAUACCCUUACCUGCGAGUGAGUAAUAUCCUGUCAUACAGGAGGGGACCAGGUGCCAAUUAGCCCUGGAUAUGAUAAUAAACUAUGGUUUCCUUUUGGUUUUAUCAUUUUUAUCCUAAUGCAUGUAAAAUUUUACCAGAAAAACCCAACAUAUGGAAUUAUACACACUUCCCAGAAGAAAACGGCUCGUAUCUCUGCACUAUUCAACUUCUUUCAACAGAAGACCCUCUCAACAGGAAUUACAUGAGUCCAAACUGGAGGCUGCAGAACGCUUAACCUCAGACCUUACUAUCAUUUCCGAUUGGGGUAAAAGGAACCUUGUGUCCUUCAAUGCCUCAAAAACCGAGUUUCUCCACCUAUCAACUCAACACAAUCUUCCAAACACCUAUCCCCUAUUCUUCAACAACACUCAGCUGUCACCAUCUUCAACACUAAACAUCCUCGGUCUAUCCUUAACUCAAAAUCUCAACUGGAAACUUCACAUCUCCUCUCUCGCUAAAUCAGCUUCCUCGAGGUUGGGCGUUCUGUAUCAUCUCCGCCAGUUCUCCCCCGCACAGUUGCUAUCCAUAUACAGGGGCCUUGUCCGCCCUCGUAUGGAGUAUGCCUCUCACGUGGGGGGGCUCCACUCACACAGCUCUCUUGGACAGACUGGAAUCUAAUGGCCGUACCAUUAGGCAGCUUCUAAACCUUCCUCAUCCUCUUCCCUUAAACAGUGUCCCCUUUCUGCCGGAUACUAUGAGGUGAUCUCGGUCCCUUCCUCCGCUAGAGCUUCUUCCGAGUUGGGAUGGUAGCCUCUGUAAACAUUUCUACAAGGAAAUAUUGAUAAUUGAAGCAUUUUACAGAUAUUAGUGUAAUCAUACAUAUUUUUCAAUGUAUAAUCACGAAGAGAAUGGUUGAUUGAAAGGCAAAUAUAGGUAUAAUUGGGAACAUAGCGUGAGUGAUAGGGUUGGCAUCCCUGCGCGGCCCGUGUUUCCACGAGGCCUACUAGACGGGAGGCCUUGGGGAUGGGGAGUGACGUCAGCACCCCUUGGUUUCCACCUCUCUCCACGCACACAGCCAGGGAGUCCACAUGUGCCCAGCGUUAUCACUUCUCUGCCCCUCGCUACCAUCCCGUCAAGCAAGGAGCCGUUAGAAAAGUGCUCGAGCCCCAUCGGAGCUAUAGGAAAAGACUACCAAGCUCCUUGAGCUGACCAAGGAGGCGUGUUGACACGGCAACUUGGCAAGGGUUAAAAAUCAUGAUACAACCCUAAAGUCUUAAACAAAAUUUUAAAUCAUUUAUUUAAAAAACUUUUGCAGAUUCAUAUUAGAUCAAAUACAUUUUAUUAUAAUUCCUGGAUCAUUUAUUACUGUAUUGAUGAGAGAAAUGCAGAAUUGACGCAUAAGAUAUGCGAAGGGGCCCACGAAGAUGUACCUAUCUCGACCCCUUGCCAGACCCCAACAAUUUUGCCCGUCAACACCUUUCCUUCGCUUACGGAGAGGGCCCCUCGAAGAUUAUGGUAUGAGAAAUUGGCCGAAGAGCUUCUAUAGUUGAGGAGGCUGCCUUAUGGUACAGCUGUAAGGCUCUUCGUCUCAUCAGCUCUCCUCCUCCUACUGAUAGUCUUCUACCUCCUAAUUUCCGCCGCCACGUUGCCUCUCUUUCUAUCUUCUAUCGUUAUUUUCAUGCUGACUGCUCUUCUGAACUUGCUAACUGCGUGCCUCUCCCCCUCCUGCGGCCCCGCUGUACACAACUUUCUACUCAUGCUCAUCCCUACACUGUCCAAAUCCCUUACGCACGAGUUAACCAGCAUCUUCACUCUUUCAUCCCUCACUUUGGUUAACUCAGGAACAAUCUUCCUUCAUCUGUA